UUUGGCAGGAUAUUGUUUGUUUCAACGUAUUUCAGCAACUGAGUAUGAACGGCUUUCUCCAAGACUUUGGACAGAAAGGAUAGAAUACUUAUUGGUCUGAGAUCAUUAAACUCGGCAGGAUUAUUAAUUUUGGAUAAAGGAGUAACCAAUGCAUGUUUCCAUUGACUAGGAACUUUAGACGUAACAAUAGAUUUAUUAAUUAUGUUGGUUAUAAUUGCUAGUGUACGAGGAAGAGUCAAUAGUAUCAUGUCUCUACUCACCCGAUCACUACCCAAUGCAUUAGAUUUUAUUGCCGAGAUAUACCUAGCAACAUCACUCUCUGACACCGGCUGCAAUCGAAAACCAGCUGUACCAUACCUAUGAAACUCAUAGUAAGUGAGUUUUGAUAAAGACACAUUAUUCGGUCCAGGUACAUUUAAAAAAUGUGCAUUAAUGUUGUCGGGGUUAUUGAAAAAGGACGGUAGUAUAUCACUUUUAGGGGAGUCCACGGAAAUAUUUUCCUUUAACUUUUUCCAGAAUAUUUUACCAUUACUUUGUUGAGAGUUUAUAUGAUAAUUAUAGUAAGCUCGCUUUUCCCGAUCGAUACUACUGUGAACGAGAUUUUUAAGGUCUUUAUAAUAUUUAUUGUGUACCUCCAAUCCUGUCCUCCUAUACAUUAACAGUGCUUUAUUACGCAAGUCAAUCAUACGUCUGAUGGUAUCGGUUACCCAUGGUAGUGAAUGUUUGCCAUUAAUUUUAAUCCUUUUUUCAGGAGCAUGUCCAUCAAAAAGGAAUAGCAACAUCGAGUUAAAAGUGUCGACCAUCAAGUCAACACAAGGCAGGCUAUUUAUGUAUUCCCAAUUUAUAGAAUUUAAAUGUAGAUUAAAAUAUUCCAGGUUAAUAUCCCUGAUGGGUCGAUGUAUAAAAUAUUUAAUUGGCAUUUUACACUUUUUUAUUGUGAGUUCGAAAUUAAUCAUCGCAUGCCCCAAGGAACCUCUAAUAAAAUUGUUCGAAAUACUGCGGACCGGUGCAUUAGUACACACUAGGUCAAUAAGCGUUUCAGUGUCGGUUGACAAGUGUGUUGGCUCAGUGACUAUUUGCGUGAGGCUAGUAUAGUGUAGAAACUCUACUAUUUUUUGUGCAUUAUUAUUAUGCAAAUUCAGCAUAUUAACAUUUAAAUCUCCCAUAAAAACCGUAUAGUCAUAAUUAGAAAAAUAAGUCACAGUUUCCGUUAUAGCAUCCAAAAAAUUAUCAAUGUUCAUCCAUUGAGGACGAUAUGCCGUACCGAUUAAUAUAUUGUAGCAAUUAAUACGCGUAGACAACCACAUCUGUUCGAUACUAGCCGCUGGGUGUUUGAGUAUGCGCACACGCACAUUACGUUUCACGUAGAAGGCUAGUCCCCCCCGCGGCCGGCGCGCAUGCUUACCGGUCGCGGUGAGCUAUACAGUCUGUAGUCGGCGACGGCGGGCGCACAUCCCUCCUCACCCGAGCGAAGCCAUGUUUCAUUUAUUGCAAUGAAGUCGGCGUUGAAACGAUUCACUGCAACUAUAAAUUCGUCUCGUGCUGUAUUGAGUGACCCGGCAUUGUAUAGACCUAACUUAAUGAACUUAUUUGAAUUGAAGAAUUGUAUGAUGUAUAAAAAUAAAUACCACAAAGGAGUCAACACAAGAUUAUGUGAAUAUAUGGAUGAUACAAUAAAAAGUAUAUACAUUAUGAUAAAAAUUGAAUAGAUUUUACUCAGUAUGCUAUACAACACCGACAAAAUGGAAUAAAUAAUAUAAAAUUCAUAACUAAAGUUUAAGUAAAAUACUGUGGAUAUAUAGAUACCGAUAUUGACAUAUGAAGUGACCUUCAGUGGACUUAUACUUACCUUAUUCGUUUUGAAUUUGAGUUGAGCCAACUGCGUCAGACCCAAAAACCCUAAGAAGGUCCCGAUCAGUUCGAAUGCGCAGAGGAAGAGCAUCCGUACCGUGGUCUUGUCUUACAAAUAUUCUACCACUGCUGGUCCACACGAACCGCCAGUUGAAGCGCCCAGCAAGUUCCCGUGUCCGUCGAAACAGGAGACGAUUGACCCUUGUCAACCUUUCGUUAACAUAGAAACGCUGUGGUGGCCCGGGCAGACCGGUGUCUGAUGUGGUGGCACCCCUCCGUACGCGAGCAGCUUUAAGCAGUUGAUCACGAAGAACUCUGCGGCCAAGUCGAAUAACAAUGAGACGGGGACGAGAAUGUUUAGACGAUGAUGACGACGACUCCUGCGGCGCCUGUACUGGACCAACCCGCAUGACGCUGACCAGAUCCUCGUCAACCAACUUGACACCCAACUUGCUUGCAAUAGUCAUGACAAUGUGAGGCAGACUUUCACCCUUCUGUUCGAUAAUGCCCGAAAUCUCGAUGUCGUUUAAUAAACACUCUUGGUCUCUAUCAUUGA